rnacentral:rRNA from 2 species
AGACCCGAAACCCGGUGAUCUAGCCAUGGGCAGGUUGAAGGUUGGGUAACACUAACUGGAGGACCGAACCGACUAAUGUUGAAAAAUUAGCGGAUGACCUGUGGCUGGGGGUGAAAGGCCAAUCAAACCGGGAGAUAGCUGGUUCUCCCCGAAAGCUAUUUAGGUAGCGCCUCGUGAAUUCAUCUCCGGGGGUAGAGCACUGUUUCGGCUAGGGGGCCAUCCCGGCUUACCAACCCGAUGCAAACUGCGAAUACCGGAGAAUGUUAUCACGGGAGACACACGGCGGGUGCUAACGUCCGUCGUGAAGAGGGAAACAACCCAGACCGCCAGCUAAGGUCCCAAAGUCAUGGUUAAGUGGGAAACGAUGUGGGAAGGCCCAGACAGCCAGGAUGUUGGCUUAGAAGCAGCCAUCAUUUAAAGAAAGCGUAAUAGCUCACUGGUCGAGUCGGCCUGCGCGGAAGAUGUAACGGGGCUAAACCAUGCACCGAAGCUGCGGCAGCGAACGUAUCACCCAAGACAACUUUACGGAGUUGACGAUUGACGGAGCGAAGCGACGUCAAAGCGUUCAUUAAAGUCGAGUUGGCUUAGGGAUACGUUCGUUGGGUAGGGGAGCGUUCUGUAAGCCUGUGAAGGUGUGUCGUGAGGCAUGCUGGAGGUAUCAGAAGUGCGAAUGCUGACAUAAGUAACGAUAAAGCGGGUGAAAAGCCCGCUCGCCGGAAGACCAAGGGUUCCUGUCCAACGUUAAUCGGGGCAGGGUGAGUCGACCCCUAAGGCGAGGCCGAAAGGCGUAGUCGAUGGGAAACGGGUUAAUAUUCCCGUACUUGGUGUUACUGCGAAGGGGGGACGGAGAAGGCUAUGUUGGCCGGGCGACGGUUGUCCCGGUUUAAGCGUGUAGGUGUGUGUUCCAGGUAAAUCCGGUUCACUUUAACACUGAGGCGUGAUGACGAGGCACUACGGUGCUGAAGCAAC